UCCACGAAUUAAAGAAGUGAUCCACGAAGGACACGAAGGAACACGAAGAAGAAAAAGAAGAAGAAAAAGAGUGUCCACGGAACUCACGGAAAACACGGAAAACACGGAAAACACGGAAAAAUCCGGAUUUUUCCGUGUUUUCCGUGAGUUCCGUGGACACUCUUUUUCUUCUUCUUUUUCUUCUUCGUGUUCCUUCGUGUCCUUCGUGGAUCACUUCUUUAAUUCGUGGA
rnacentral:misc_RNA from 1 species